GGAAGAACAACUCCAGGAACUGCCUCUGAUAUGGUAUGCUUCCACUCCCUGAAUGCAGCCACGGUUGGUUAAUCCACAUUCUGUCCUUAAAUGGCCAAAUGGUAGAUAAUAAUUGGCUUGAUGAAGUAUGGUACAAUAUGUUUGGGUGGGGCAGUCCUGAUGGAAUGAGAGUGGGAUAAAUGGAAUUGACCUGGAAGGAAGAUACAGGAUUUACUUGGCUUGUCCAGGGCUACCCUACCAGAUCAAUGAUAGGAGAAUGAAUGCUUCCGUGAAUCAUUCGCUGUCCGUUUGGGAUGUAACGUUGGGCAUGGAUACCCAAGUCCAUCCAAUAGUCAUUUUAGGGUUUUAUGCUUGGAGGCUGGUAUACAUACCUGGAGGAGGACUAUGCAAAGAAAUAUGCUACGUGGCAAGAAAUGAACGUUUGAUCAGACUUGUACCUUUAGUGAGCUAA
rnacentral:lncRNA from 1 species